AAAAAAAAAAAAGAUUAUGGUUAUUAAUUCUUUUGUCAGUUUAUCUGAAUUUAGGAUAUAUAGAAGCCUAUUCCUAGGGACACCUAGAGCCCUAUCUAGCCAGUGUGUCCUAACAUUAGCAUCAGGUUGGCGUUGCAGUUUCUUUCAGUGAAUUUAAUAAUUUGUGCCAUUAAAUGUCACUCGUCACUAUGGCAUAAUGUUGUAUCCAGAAACUAGUAUUUUUAAUGCAGUCUUAUUCUUGCGAUGGUACAUAAACCAGGGACCUAGUGUAGAAUUCAGCUGUGUGCGAGAUGAGGGCGGGGGAGGUUUUUGUUCUUAAGUGAUAACUGUAAGUAGAUGUGAAAUUCUAAGGAGCUAUCAUGUGAAAUAAUAUAGGGUUGCUGUGCUACUGUAUAAUGGGGAACCAUAAUACCAGGAAUUUUAAUAAGAUUUUGUAAAGAAUGUCCAGAAAAAGUGGUGAAUUUAUUUUCAGACUGAAAUAGAAAACAAUGUGAAUAUUUAAGGUCUGCAACUACACUUAAUAAACUUCACUAAGAAUUUGGGAGUUUGUUCUGAGAUGUUGUGGAAAUAAAGGUAAUUUUGUUGAAUCUUUAUAAUUGGUGCUAAUUAUGGAAGGUUCUAAAAUAGCUAGUGUAUCUUGUUAUGGUCUAAUACUCGUUGGUACUUCCACAGAAUUAAACUUGAAGUGCUAUGUAUUCACUUUUCACUCUGUAAAUGUAACUAUACAAUGACUUUAUUUAUUAAAAGGCAGCCAGUUGUAAUUUUUACAACACUGUGUGAGCUAUUCAGACUCCUUAACCUCUAUUCUUUCCCUGAACACUUUAUAUAAGGAGGUAAUAACCUCCAUCAACAACUACAAGGGGAAUAAAUGUGUAAAUCCUUAAACUUCAUUUCAUCAAAUGAAAGUCCAUGGAAUUAAAUGACUUGUAUUUUCUUUUUGCAGAUCUUUUCUCUUUCCAUAAAUAAAAUCCAUCAGUCAGUCUGCCUGUUUAGUAGGCUCUACCAAAGAAUAAGACUUCCUUGGUUUCUAGUAAAUGGAAGUCAUUACUAAGUCUUCCUCUAAGCAGUGGUAAACUAAGAUAUCAUAAUUUAUUUAGGUAUAGCAUUCCACAUGCACAUGGUGAUGUAUAAAGUUAAGGUGAUUGGUAAGAUUUUUUUUAAUUGUUGAAAUAUUAUUAAAAUGUAUUCUCUUUAA
rnacentral:lncRNA from 1 species